GAUGAACGCUGGCGGCGUGCCUAAUACAUGCAAGUCGAGCGAACGGACGAGAAGCUUGCUUCUCUGAUGUUAGCGGCGGACGGGUGAGUAACACGUGGAUAACCUACCUAUAAGACUGGGAUAACUUCGGGAAACCGGAGCUAAUACCGGAUAAUAUUUUGAACCGCAUGGUUCAAAAGUGAAAGACGGUCUUGCUGUCACUUAUAGAUGGAUCCGCGCUGCAUUAGCUAGUUGGUAAGGUAACGGCUUACCAAGGCAACGAUGCAUAGCCGACCUGAGAGGGUGAUCAGCCACACUGGAACUGAGACACGGUCCAGACUCCUGCGGGAGGCAGCAGUAGGGAAUCUUCCGCAAUGGGCGAAAGACUGACGGAGCAACGCCGCGUGAGUGAUGAAGGUCUUCGGAUCGUAAAACUCUGUUAUUAGGGAAGAACAUAUGUGUAAGUAACUGUGCACAUCUUAACGGUACCUAAUCAGAAAGCCACGGCUAACUACGUG
rnacentral:rRNA from 1 species